rnacentral:rRNA from 1 species
CCUACGGGUGGCAGCAGUGAGGAAUAUUGGUCAAUGGGCGCGAGCCUGAACCAGCCAAGUAGCGUGAAGGAUGACUGCCCUACGGGUUGUAAACUUCUUUUAUAAAGGAAUAAAGUGAGGCACGUGUGCCUUUUUGUAUGUACUUUAUGAAUAAGGAUCGGCUAACUCCGUGCCAGCAGCCGCGGUAAUACGGAGGAUCCGAGCGUUAUCCGGAUUUAUUGGGUUUAAAGGGAGCGUGGAUGGGUUGUUAAGUCAGUUGUGAAAGUUUGCGGCUCAACCGUAAAAUUGCAAUUGAUACUGGAGGUCUUGAGUAAGGUUGGGGGAGGCGGAAUUCGUGGUGUAGCGGUGAAAUGCUUAGAUACCACGAAGAACUCCGAUUGCGAAGGCAGCUAACGAAACGGAAACUGAAAUUGAUGCUCGAAAGUGUGGGUAUCAAACAGGAUUAGAUCCCCUGUAGUC